ACAUGCAAGUCGAGCGGACAGAAGGGAGCUUGCUCCCGGAUGUUAGCGGCGGACGGGUGAGUAACACGUGGGUAACCUGCCUGUAAGACUGGGAUAACUCCGGGAAACCGGAGCUAAUACCGGAUAGUUCCUUGAACCGCAUGGUUCAAGGAUGAAAGACGGUUUCGGCUGUCACUUACAGAUGGACCCGCGGCGCAUUAGCUAGUUGGUGAGGUAACGGCUCACCAAGGCGACGAUGCGUAGCCGACCUGAGAGGGUGAUCGGCCACACUGGGACUGAGACACGGCCCAGACUCCUACGGGAGGCAGCAGUAGGGAAUCUUCCGCAAUGGACGAAAGUCUGACGGAGCAACGCCGCGUGAGUGAUGAAGGUUUUCGGAUCGUAAAGCUCUGUUGUUAGGGAAGAACAAGUGCAAGAGUAACUGCUUGCACCUUGACGGUACCUAACCAGAAAGCCACGGCUAACUACGUGCCAGCAGCCGCGGUAAUACGUAGGUGGCAAGCGUUGUCCGGAAUUAUUGGGCGUAAAGGGCUCGCAGGCGGUUUCUUAAGUCUGAUGUGAAAGCCCCCGGCUCAACCGGGGAGGGUCAUUGGAAACUGGGAAACUUGAGUGCAGAAGAGGAGAGUGGAAUUCCACGUGUAGCGGUGAAAUGCGUAGAGAUGUGGAGGAACACCAGUGGCGAAGGCGACUCUCUGGUCUGUAACUGACGCUGAGGAGCGAAAGCGUGGGGAGCGAACAGGAUUAGAUACCCUGGUAGUCCACGCCGU
rnacentral:rRNA from 1 species